AACGAACGCUGGCGGCAUGCCUAACACAUGCAAGUCGAACGAGACCUUCGGGUCUAUUUGCGCACGGGGGCGUAACGCGUGGUAACCUGCCCUUAGGUUCGGAAUAACUCCCCGAAAGGGGUGCUAAUACCGGUUAAUGUCUUCGGGCCAAAGAUUUAUCGCCUUUGGCUGGGCCCGCGUUGGAUUAGCUAGUUGGUAGGGUAAAAGCCUACCAAGGCGACGAUCCAUAGCUGGUCUGAGAGGAUGAUCAGCCACACUGGGACUGAGACACGGCCCAGACUCCUACGGGAGGCAGGAGUGGGGAAUAUUGGAGGAUGGGCGAAAGCCUGAUCCAGCCAUGCCGCGUGUGUGAUGAAGGGCUUAGGGUUGUAAAGCUCUUUUACCCGGGAUGAUAAUGACAGUACCGGGAGAAUAAGCUCCGGCUAACUCCGUG
rnacentral:rRNA from 1 species